rnacentral:rRNA from 1 species
UACGGGGGGGGGCAAGCGUUGUUCGGAAUUACUGGGCGUAAAGGGCGCGUAGGCGGUUCGCUAAGUUGGAUGUGAAAACUCUGGGCUCAACCCAGAGCCUGCAUCCAAAACUGGCGGGCUAGAGUUCUGGAGGGGGUAGCGGAAUUCCUGGUGUAGCGGUGAAAUGCGUAGAUAUCAGGAGGAACACCGGUGGCGAAGGCGGGCUAC